GCGGCGGCGGCGCGGGAGGUUCAGAGCGGGAGCCCGGGCUCGCGGACGGCAUGGAGGACUACGAGCAGGAGCUGUGCGGCGUCGAGGACGAUUUCCACAACCAGUUCGCGGCCGAGCUGGAGGUGCUGGCCGAGCUGGAAGGGGCGUCGACUCCGUCGCCCUCCGGGGUCCCUGUGUCCACCGCGGGCCGACCCCCGCGGACGUUCGAGGAGGCCCUCACCAGAGGGGACGCGGCCUCCAGUCCCGCCCCAGCCGCAUCUGUGGGCAGCAGCCAGGGCGGCGCCAGGAAGAGGCAGGUGGACGCCGACCUGCAGCCGGCCGGGUCUCUGCCCCACGCCCCCAGGAUCAAACGGCCUAGGCUGCAGGUGGCCAAGAGGCUGAACUUUAGGUCGGAGGAGAUGGAGGAGCCGCCCCCUCCCGACUCCCCGCCGACGGACAUCACCCCGCCGCCGAGUCCUGAGGACCUCGCAGAGCUUUGGGGCCACGGAGCCUCAGACGCUGCUGCCGACGUGGGUCUCACACGGGCCUCACCAGCUGCCCGCAAUCCUGUCCUGAGGCGGCCCCCCAUCUUGGAGGAUUACGUCCACGUGACAUCCACGGAGGGCGUCCGGGCCUAUCUGGUGCUGCGUGCUGACCCCAUGGCCACGGGGGUGCAGCUGCUCCAUCUGGAUGGUUUUUUUCUUUUGGCCCCCCUGCCCCGUCUCCCACCCCUCACCGGCCAGCUUACUGGGGUUGUCCCACCCGGGUCCCUGAGCACUGAUGGGGGCUGACGUGAAUCCUGUGACCUACGAGGGGCCCAUAGGCAAUUGUUCUCCCUUCCCCACAGGGCUCUCUCCUCCACGUCUCAUGGCGAGGCGGUGGCCAGCUGGACCUGCUGGGUGUGUCCUUUGCCUCCCUGAAGGAGCAGGUCGACGGCGAGGUUGUGGCUGCGGGUUUGCUGGGGGGCGGUGGCAGGGCCGCCUGAGCCCUCCUGAUCCCAGCCUGUUGUUUACACAGCGGCGGGAGCGGCUGCUUCAGGAAGCCCAGAGGCUCUCAGACACCCUGCACAGUCUCAGGUCGGGGGAGGAGAAGGCAGCACAGCCCGUGGGGGCCCCUGAGGAGGAGCCGACUGACGGCCAAGAUGCCUCCACUCACUGCCUCUGGGUGGAUGAGUUUGCACCCCAGCACUACACGGAGCUGCUCAGUGAUGACGUGAGGUCUUGCUCUCGCUCAAGUGUGGCUGGCUUUCUUUGUUCCCAAGAGGGAAGAACCUGGGCCCAGUGAUUUUUGCACAGCCAAUCCACUGGGCCUCGGGGAUGGAGUGGGGCUCUGGUUUGUCCCUUUGAGUUGUAAGGUGGGGAACUGAGCACAGGGCUGUGUGCUACUGGUUCCCCGUGGCCUGUGAGGCAGGCCAGGGGUCCAGGGUGUCACCUGAUCCAAGUCUCUGUUCCCUUUCCUGCCUUCGUAGCAGCUGACACUGGGGUGACCUUGGGGAGGGCAGGGGCCUCCCAGAUGGGUUGUGGCCAGAGCCGUGGGGAUGGAGCCCCUGGUGUGAGCCUCACGGUCACUCACUGGCAGGAAGACGGGGGUGGCCGUCCACCCUGUGGCUCGGUGUCCCGUGGUGCACGGGGCUCACCGUGGCAGGCUGACUGUCCGUGCCUGGAGGCGGUGCCCUCAGGCUGUGCCUCCCUUCCCGUCCUGCCCGCAGUUCACCAACCGCUGCCUGCUCAAGUGGUUGAAGUUGUGGGACUUGGUGGUGUUUGGCCACGAGAGGCCUGCCCGGAAGCCCAGGCCCAGUGUCGAGCCGGCCCGGGUCAGCAAGGAGGCCACAGCCCCAGGCAAGUGGAAAAGCCACGAACAGGUGCUGGAGGAGAUGCUGGAGGCCGGGCUGGACCCGAGCCAGCGACCGAGGCAGAAGGUGAGCCCCGCUGGCUGUGCCGCCGGCAACAAGCCUGAGGCUUUGCACUCGGCGCCGGCACCCUCGCAGCUUGUUGACUUUCUCUAGGAGCCGUGGGUGUGAUGACGUGUGGGUCUCGGCGUGCAGCGCCAUUAGCACGAGUUAGAACUGGAUCUGUUCCAGUAACAGCUCGGGGGAAGUCAUUGUCCCUGAAGGGCUGUGUGGCUGGCCAGGACGAUCUGGGUGGAUGGUGGGUGGUUUCUGGGGGUCGGUCACAUGGGUACCAGUUGUGUUUUGUCUGCACGAAUCUUGUUUUGGGCAGGGGUUUUUUCUGUUGCUAUAUUGGUGCGUGAAUGUGCUGAGUUUUGUUAUUAUUUGAUGGCUGGAGUGGGGUGGGGGGAGCACCCAGCCUGUGGGACACGUGGCAGUCCCUGGCUGCUGGGCCGGGAGCGUCCUGUAGGUGCGGUGCACACCACGCCUCCAUCUACCUGGGCUGCAGGUGGCACUGCUCUGUGGGCCCCCGGGGCUGGGGAAGACCACCCUGGCACAUGUGAUUGCACGUCACGCGGGGUACUCUGUGGUGGAGAUGAACGCCAGGUGAGUGACGUGAGGCCUGUCUCUGGCUCGCCUUCUGUUCUGAUGUGUUUGAGUUUUGGCGGCGGACCUGAAACCGGGUGUGGAUGUUCCCGUCUUGGGGGUGGUGGGGGCCUGGGCGUGUGGGCCGGGGAAACGUGUCCUUCCUCGGGGUUCACGGGAUCGGCAGCAGCCGCGUCACGUGGCAGUCUCCACGCAAAUGCAGCAGCCCUGGUCUUGGGAGGCUGCCCUGCCGGGGACGCCCACUGCCCUGACGACCCCUGACCUCCCUGUUGCAGUGAUGACCGUAGCCCGGAGGUCUUCCGCACACGUAUCGAGGCGGCCACCCAGAUGGAGUCGGUGCUGGGUGCUGGCGGGAAGCCCAACUGCCUGGUCAUCGAUGAGAUCGACGGGGCCCCCGUGGCCGCCAUCAACGUCCUCCUGAGCAUCCUGAACCGCAAGGGGCCACAGGAGGUGGAGCCACAGGGCCCGGCUGUGCCUUCGGGUGGCGGCCGACGGCGCCGGGCAGAGGGGGGGCUCCUCAUGAGGCCCAUUAUCUGCAUUUGCAACGACCAGUUCGCACCUUCCCUGCGGCAGCUGAAGCAGCAGGCCUUCCUGCUCCACUUCCCGCCAACUCUUCCCUCGAGGCUGGUGCAGCGGCUCCAGGAGGUCUCCCUGCGGCAGGGCAUGAGGGCCGACCCGGGGGUGCUGGCCGCCCUCUGUGAGAAAACGGACAAUGACAUCCGGGCCUGCAUCAACACCCUGCAGGUGGGCGGCCGGCAGGCACCGCGUGGGGUAGGGUGGGGUCGGGAGUUGGCCGCCUCUCAUGCCUCCGCCCCGUGUCUAGUUCCUGUACAGCCGGGGCCAGCGGGAGCUGAGCGUGCGGGACGUGCAGGCCACACGCGUGGGCCUCAAGGACCAGCGCAGAGGGCUCUUCUCGGUGUGGCAGGAGGUCUUCCAGCUGCCUCGAGCCCAGAGGCGCCGUGUGGGCCAGGACCCUGCCCUGCCUGCUGACACACUCCUGCUGGGUGACGGGGACGUGGGCUCCCUGACCUCCGCCUCACAGCGAUUCUACCGUGUUCUGCGUGCCGCUGCCUCUGCGGGCGAGCACGAGAAGGUGGUCCAGGGUCUGUUUGACAACUUCCUGCGCCUGCGGCUGCGAGACUCCAGCCUGGGCGCUGUGUGUGCGGCCCUCGACUGGCUGGCCUUCGAUGACCUGCUGGCGGGGGCUGCUCACCACAGCCAGAGCUUCCAGCUGCUGCGCUAUCCGCCCUUCCUGCCCGUGGCCUUCCACGUGCUCUUUGCUUCCAGCCACACACCCAGGAUCACCUUCCCCAGCAGCCAGCAGGAGGCCCAGAACCGGAUGAGCCAGAUGAGGAACCUUAUCCAGACGCUGGUGUCCGGCAUUGCGCCAGCUACGCGCAGCCGGGCCACGCCCCAGGCCCUGCUCCUGGAUGCCCUCUGCCUGCUCCUGGACAUUCUUGCGCCCAAGCUCCGCCCCGUGAGCACGCAGCUGUACAGCACCCGUGAGAAGCAACAGCUGGCCAGCCUGGUGGGCACGAUGCUCACUUACAGCCUGACCUACCGCCAGGAGCGCACGCCCGAUGGCCAGUACAUCUACAGGCUGGAGCCGAACGUGGAGGAACUCUGCCGCUUCCCUGAGCUGCCUGCCCGCAAGCCCCUCACCUACCAGACGAAGCAGCUCAUUGCCCGCGAGAUCGAGGUGGAGAAGAUGCGGCGGGCGGAGGUUUCUGCCCGGGCAGAGGACAGCCCCCAGGUGGACGGGAGCCCCCUAGGGCUCGAGGGUCUGCUGGGGGGCAGUGGGGAGAAAGGGGUCCGCCGACCUGCCCCACGCAACCAUGAGCAGCGGCUGGAGCACAUCAUGAGGCGAGCGGCCCGGGAGGAACAGCCUGAGAAGGAUUCUUUGGACGUGUGGUCAUCAGGAACACAGCAGUCCCGAGUGCAGGUGUGUGGGGGGUGUUGUGGGGUUGUGGGGGGCCUGGGUGCUGGGGUCUAGCUGAGGAGCAACCCUGUGGCCCCGCAGGGGACAUGGCCCUGGAGCAGGACUCAAUGGAGCGGCGCAUGGGCACGGCAGUGGGCAGGAGCGAGGUCUGGUUCCGCUUCAACGAGGGUGUCUCCAAUGCUGUGCGGCGCAGCCUGUACAUCAGGGACUUGCUCUAAUUCUCUCUGACCUGCGGACACGCCCCCGCAUUGCUUCCCGCAGAGUGCAGGGAGACACAAACCUGGAGAUGUGUUUAUAAAGUCACGCCUUUACAGACUGU
rnacentral:sRNA from 1 species